rnacentral:misc_RNA from 1 species
GAUGAAGAACGUAGCGAAAUGCGAUAAGUAAUGUGAAUUGCAGAAUCCCGUGAACCAUCGAGUCUUUGAACGCAAGUUGCGCCCGAAGCCAUUAGGCCGAGGGCACGCCUGCCUGGGCGUCACACGUCGUUGCCCCCCCAUCUACUCCUUCGGGAUUGCGGGGGGCGGAUGAUGGCCUCCCGUGCGCCUCGCCGCGCGGUUGGCAUAAAUGCCAAGUCCUCGGCGACGCACGCCACGACAAUCGGUGGUUGCGAAACCUCGGUUGCCCGUCGUGUGCGGUCGUCGCGCAUCGAGGGCUCGAAAAAAUUGCCGGGUUCCGGCUCGGCUUUCAACGCGACCCCAGGUCAGGCGGGGUUACCCGCUGAAUUUAAGCAUAUCAAUAAGCGGAGGA